UACGUAGGGGGCGAGCGUUGUCCGGAGUUACUGGGCGUAAAGCGUGCGCAGGCGGUCUGUUAAGACCGAUGUGAAAUCCCCGGGCUUAACCUGGGAACUGCAUUGGUGACUGGCAGGCUUUGAGUGUGGCAGAGGGGGGUAGAAUUCCACGUGUAGCAGUGAAAUGCGUAGAGAUGUGGAGGAAUACCGAUGGCGAAGGCAGCUCUCUGGGUCCCUACCGACGCUGGGGUGCGAAAGCAUGGGGAGCGAACAGG
rnacentral:rRNA from 1 species